GCAUCAUAUUUGGCACAUUAGGAAUUUAUUUUUGCAAUUUACUGAUUAAAAAAUGUUGAAAAUAACCAAAUAAAAACACACAAAUCACAUUUUUUAACCAGUAAAUUGCAAAAAUAAAUUCCUAAUGUGCCAAAUAUGAUGC
rnacentral:miRNA from 1 species